rnacentral:lncRNA from 1 species
AUAAAAGCAACUGAAUUAUAUUGAGGGGGAAGGGGUUGGAGUGUGUGGAAAACUGAGGUUGAACAAUAAUAUAACCCAGUCAUUAACAUGUUAAAAUCUGGGGUUGACCCAAAAGGACAGGCAGUGGCUGGCUAUAGAACAAACAAACAAACAAAUAGAGUGUUGAAACUCACUACCAAUAUAGUUUGCUUUUACAGUAUAUCGUCUGCAUAUUUACCUGGAAAGACCAUUACAUUCUGUAUCAUUUCAGAUGGCCUAGCUACCCUUAUCGUGCCUUUGCCAUCCCAUUUCAUCCAUCCUUCUUUAAUUUUGUUCUUUUCUCCUUUCCACCUUUUUUUACUACUGCCCUUUGACCUACCUAUUAAUAAGCACUUGUGAUGUUGGCUCUUUCCAAAUAUAGCCAUUUCAUUCUCACAAUAUUAAUAACGAAAAGAGUAUGAAUAUAGUCGUGAACUUUGAUAAAUGAUAUACAUAUAUCUUUCGUCAUACUUUAGCUACAAAUAUAUCUUUGUCGUUAAUGAAAAGGUACAUAUAUAUCCUUCUCACUAACUGCAGAACACGUGUCAAAAUCUUGUCCAUUUAUUCUUUUUUAUUUAAUUUAUACCAAUUUCAUCAGAAAAUAAUCUUAAUUUAACCCACAACCCAACACAAAUAAUAACCCAAACCUGACCCAUCUAAUAGAAUCUUUUUCUUCUUCGACAUUCUUCUUUUCCAUCUCAAAAAAAAAAAAUCUUCGCGCUAAUUACAAACAGUUGCCCUUCUAGUCCCAAACAAUAACAGUUUCAAUGGUGAAAUACUCCCAAACUAUCGAUUUCUUUUUAUUCCUACGCUUACAAUACACCAGGUAACAACCACCCAAACAAGAGGAAGUGAGUAAGGAGGACAUCUACAACGUUCUCAUUUAAAAUCUUUAUUCUUUAUCUCUCUCUAUAUCUAUGUUGAAAUGGAUAGAGAUGUGUUUGAAUUUAUACUUUGAGCUCUUAUUAUUAUGUAUAUGAGGUUUCAAAUGUGUGAAAGUGAAGGCAUCUGGCAAUUGAAUUUCAAGGCUAUUUUGGUACAAAGAACAUACUUUUGUGCACUGUUCAACACAUUUCAAAUGAACUAUCAGAGAAAAACAUAAGUGAAGAAAGUUGUUUUUGAUAAUAAUUUUAUUGUUUGGUUGCCAAUUAUUUCUGAAAUAAAAUUUUUCUUUCAUACCAAACACACAGAAGGCCAACUUUCUAAAAUGGGAGUUAUUUGAGAGUGUUGAUUUAGCACCUGACAAUGUGGAAGAGUUAAGGGAAUUUGAGAAGAAGAAUGAUGAAGAAAAAAAAUCUUUCUUCUAAUGUUCUUCACCAAAUAGCAAAAAAUUUUAUUUUGAGUUAGAUACACCCAACAAAAGUUGUAUGAGGAUAUUGUCUAUACUUGACAAGUGUUUUGUGAGGUC